UAGGGAAUCUUCCGCAAUGGACGAAAGUCUGACGGAGCAACGCCGCGUGAGCGAAGAAGGCCUUCGGGUCGUAAAGCUCUGUUGUUAGGGAAGAACAAGUACGGGAGUAACUGCUCGUACCUUGACGGUACCUAACCAGAAAGCCACGGCUAACUACGUGCCAGCAGCCGCGGUAAUACGUAGGUGGCAAGCGUUGUCCGGAAUUAUUGGGCGUAAAGCGCGCGCAGGCGGUCCUUUAAGUCUGAUGUGAAAGCCCACGGCUCAACCGUGGAGGGUCAUUGGAAACUGGGGGACUUGAGUGCAGAAGAGGAGAGUGGAAUUCCACGUGUAGCGGUGAAAUGCGUAGAGAUGUGGAGGAACACCAGUGGCGAAGGCGACUCUCUGGUCUGUAACUGACGCUGAGGCGCGAAAGCGUGGGGAGCAAACAGGAUUAGAUACCCCUGGUAGUCCACGCCGUAAACGAUGAGUGCUAAGUGUUAGAGGUUUCCGCCCUUUAGUGCUGC
rnacentral:rRNA from 1 species